UUGCUUGCUGUUUGGGGUUUUAGGCUGGGUUUCUGUACAGCACUUUGAGAUAUCAACUGAUGUAAGAAGGGCUUUAUAAAUACAUUUGAUUUGAUCAGUGCACAGGUGCACCUUGUGCUGGGGGCAAUAGGUAGAUAAAAGGCUGCUCUAAAAUGUGCAGUUCUAUCAACCCUCCGGGUCUCCUGACCAUAAUCCAAAAUCUGGUCUGAAAUGCACAAAUGAUUAACCCUUACAGUUCCCCUCAGCUUUACGAUGACCUGUAAAUGUAUACACACACGUCACACACACGCACACAUGCACACACCACAACAAAUUACAAACCCUAACCACCUACAGGCUAAGCAUGAUGUACAGUAUGAACUACAGCUGAACCAAAUAUUGAAUGAAGGCUAUUAUUCAAGCCUUCUUGUUAUUAUGGGGGCCCCUUCCCUCAGCCAACCACUCUCUUCUCUCCCUCCUUGUUCUUCGCUGGCCUCUCUGUCUGACCACUGUCCAGAAGAUCGGACCACUAUGGUCUGACUCUGUGUCAUUUGGACCGGGUUGCCUCCGUUUCCCUGGGCCAAAUGGAUCUUCAAAGAACUUCACAAAGUUAUUAAAUGGACCAUUAAAAUUUGGCGAAUGCUAAAUGGGAGGUGCACUGCUACAGUAGGGAGCUGUUUGGUCCUCUAAUGGGCCGGACUUUUGUUCCCCUGAAGUCAUGCAACAACUCAACACAGGAGCCCCUCAGAAACGCUGCUGAUUAGAGAAGAGGGACGGCAUGGGAAAAUUCAGAGCAAGACAGGUUACCAAAAGCCCCUUGUGUACAGCCACUCCCUCUGCCUCCUCCAACUCAUUAACCAACCCCUUGGUGCUGUGGUGGUGGUGCCUGGAAGGAGAUAAAGAGAGCCAGCACCUCGGAGCUGCCUGUAUCCCCCGUUGAGUGGCUGCCACUGGGUGCUCCUUUCCUGGGGCUGGGCUGGCGGACCCUCACCCCCCUUCCGUGGCUCUGGGUGAAUGAUUAGUUCAGCUCCAUGGCACUUCCUUUGUGAAAGUGCUACAGAGUGUCGAAGGCCCUGAGAGGAGGGGAUAAGACCCAACCUCAAUAAUCACGCGUAGGAGACCCAGCUCCCCCCUGCCUCUCUCCCGAGUUCCCUCUCCUGUUCCCCCCGUCUCUAACACAAUGGGUCGAUCAGCUGGCAAGGCAAGGUUGCACAGGAUUUUGAGCGCUUGGGAAGCUGCAGGUUGCAGAACUUUCUGUCUUGUGUAGAUUUGAAAGUCAGGUAUUUUCCUGACAUCAAGCUUUGCAUAAUAGGAAGAUGAGAUUGUAGAUUUGUUGAUAAUAUGAAUUUGAAUAUUAUUAAAAUGUAGGGGGAAAAAAAGAAGGGAAGCGCUGCUAGUGUACACAAUAGUAGAUCUUUGUAGAUGCUCUGUCGUUGUGAUGACUGCAGAGUGCAUCACAUUCUCUUUCUCUGAAUCAUGAGCUGGAGUCCAUCAAAUCAAGAGAGAAAGUUUUAUUUGUAAUGAAAAAUAUCAGUGAUCAUUUGCUGCUUUACACAAUAUUUCCCCAUAGGGUAUGUCGAGUCAUGGUACAUUGUAGAUAAGUAAAUAAAAGCUACAAAAAUAAUUGCUGUAAGUAAUAUCAUUGAGUUACACAAUACAUUUUUUGAAACUUUAGGAUGAUUUGGAUAUAAAGCGUGAAUUAUCCUAAUACAGGUACCAUUAACUUGCAUUGGAUUUGUGACACAAAUGCUAAAAAGUUAGCAUUUGAAACAGUGGCAAGGUAUACAAAACCAAAGAAUGGGUUGCUCUGCUUACAGAGUAAGAUAAUCAUUAAUAAAUUAUCCCCAAAUAGCAGGAACAGCACCAUUUAGUGGUCAGGAUGUUGGACCCAACAACUUCAAUGACUAAUUUCUCUGAACAGGGGAAAAAAACAUCACUCUUUUCACUUAGAAUACAUUACAUUGGAUGAAGAAACAAUACUAAUAGCCACAUGUCCAUACUACUUGUCGAACAUAGAGAACUGACACUAUAUACUCGUUGUUGGGGUGGGAUUGGCAUGGGGUGUGGGAGGUCCGUGGAUGACUUUUGACCUCUUCUUUUGAUUCCUCAUGUCUUACCCAUUGUUA